rnacentral:rRNA from 1 species
CUUUACGGCCAUGCCACCCUGAACAAGCCCGAUCCCGUCUGAUUUUGGAAGCUAAGUAGGGUUGGGCCUGGUUAGUACUUGAAUGGGAGACCACCUAGGAAGACCAGAUGCUGUAGGUG